CGAAAGCUAUUUAGGUAGCGCCUCGUGAAUUCAUCUCCGGGGGUAGAGCACUGUUUCGGCUAGGGGGCCAUCCCGGCUUACCAACCCGAUGCAAACUGCGAAUACCGGAGAAUGUUAUCACGGGAGACACACGGCGGGUGCUAACGUCCGUCGUGAAGAGGGAAACAACCCAGACCGCCAGCUAAGGUCCCAAAGUCAUGGUUAAGUGGGAAACGAUGUGGGAAGGCCCAGACAGCCAGGAUGUUGGCUUAGAAGCAGCCAUCAUUUAAAGAAAGCGUAAUAGCUCACUGGUCGAGUCGGCCUGCGCGGAAGAUGUAACGGGGCUAAACCAU
rnacentral:rRNA from 3 species